rnacentral:rRNA from 1 species
GGAUGAAUAUUGGUCAAUGGGCGCAAGCCUGAACCAGCCAUGCCGCGUGCAGGAAGACGGCCUUAUGGGUUGUAAACUGCUUUUACAUAAGACUAACCGUAUAUUUGCGAAUAUACCUGAAUGUAUUAUGAGAAUAAGGAUCGGCUAACUCCGUGCCAGCAGCCGCGGUAAUACGGAGGAUCCGAGCGUUAUCCGGAUUUAUUGGGUUUAAAGGGUGCGUAGGCUGACUGAUAAGUCAGCGGUGAAAAGC